rnacentral:pre_miRNA from 1 species
CGGGGGAGGCCGGAUCCUGGGCUGUGUCCCGGCGCCCUGUGUCCCGGUUUGCGCUAUUGGAUUCGCGCUUCCACCCCGCAGCCCCCU